rnacentral:rRNA from 1 species
AACUUUCAACAACGGAUCUCUUGGUUCUGGCAUCGAUGAAGAACGCAGCGAAAUGCGAUAAAUAAUGUGAAUUGCAGAAUUCAGUGAAUCAUCGAAUCUUUGAACGCACAUUGCGCCCCUCGGUACCCCGGGGGGCAUGCCU